GACGAACGCUGCCGGCGUGCUUAACACAUGCAAGUCGAACGGAAAGGCCUGCAGCUUGCUGCGGGUACUCGAGUGGCGAACGGGUGAGUAACGCGUGGGUGAUCUGCCUUGCACUUCGGGAUAAGCUUGGGAAACUGGGUCUAAUACCGGAUAGGACAGCUGUUUAGUGUCAGUUGUGGAAAGUUUUUUCGGUGCAAGAUGAGCUCGCGGCCUAUCAGCUUGUUGGUGGGGUAAUGGCCUACCAAGGCGUCGACGGGUAGCCGGCCUGAGAGGGUGUACGGCCACAUUGGGACUGAGAUACGGCCCAGACUCCUACGGGAGGCAGCAGUGGGGAAUAUUGCACAAUGGGCGGAAGCCUGAUGCAGCGACGCCGCGUGGGGGAUGAAGGCCUUCGGGUUGUAAACUCCUUUCGGCAGGGACGAAGCGUAAGUGACGGUACCUGUAUAAGAAGCACCGGCUAACUACGUGCCAGCAGCCGCGGUAAUACGUAGGGUGCGAGCGUUGUCCGGAAUUACUGGGCGUAAAGAGCUCGUAGGUGGUUUGUCGCGUCGUCUGUGAAAUUCCGGGGCUUAACUCCGGGCGUGCAGGCGAUACGGGCUGACUUGAGUGCUGUAGGGGAGACUGGAAUUCCUGGUGUAGCGGUGAAAUGCGCAGAUAUCAGGAGGAACACCGAUGGCGAAGGCAGGUCUCUGGGCAGUAACUGACGCUGAGGAGCGAAAGCAUGGGUAGCGAACAGGAUUAGGUACCCUGGUAGUCCAUGCCGUAAACGGUGGGCGCUAGGUGUAGGGGGCUUCCACGUCUUCUGUGCCGUAGCUAACGCAUUAAGCGCCCCGCCUGGGGAG
rnacentral:rRNA from 1 species